UGGGCUUAAGUGAUCCUCCCACUUCAGCCCCCAAGUUUCUGAGACUACAGAGACAGCUGCCUUCAAACUCCUGGCCUCAAGUAAUCCUCCCACCUCAACCUCCCAAAGUGCUAGGAAUACAGAUGUGAGCCACCACACCCAGGCAAGAUUCUUAAAUAGAAUAAUAAAAUCACUCACUUGAACUAUAUUAAAAUUAAGAACUUUUGUUCACCAAAAGACAUUAUUGAAAGAGUGAGAAGGCAACCCAUAGACUGAAGAAGAUAUUUGCGGUACUGAAGUUUAUUCUGAACUUUUUGCAAGUCUGAAAAUCUCACAAAGUCCUCUGAUCUAGACAUAUAAAGAAUUUCACAAGCCAGCAAUCCCAUUACUGGAUAUAUACCCAGAGGAAUAUAAAUCAUUCUACCAUAAAGACACAUGCAUGCAAAUGUUCAUUGCAGCACUAUUCACAAUAGCAAAGAUAUGGAAUCAACCUAAAUGUCCAUCAAUGAGAGAUUGGAUAAAGAAAAUGUGGUACAUAUAAACCACGGAAUACUAUGCAGCCAUAAAAAGGAAUGAGACCAUGUUUUUCAUGGGAACAUGGAUGAAGCUGGAGGCCAUUAUACUCAGCAAACUAAUGCAGAAACAGAAAACCAAAUCCCACCAGCCUGGCCAACAUAGUGAAACCUCGUCUCUACUAAAAAUACAAAAAUUAGCCAGGCAUGGUGGUGCAUGGGCACGGUGGCACAUGCCUGUUGUCCCAGCUACUUGGCAGCCUGAGACAGGAGAAUCACUUGAACCCAAGAAGUGGAGGUUGCAGUGAGCCAAGAUCGCGCUACUACACUCCAGCUUGGGCAACAGAGUGAGACUUCGUCUUAAAAAAAGAAAAAAAAGAAAAAGAAAACCAAUUCCCACACAUUCUCAUUUAUAAGUGGGAGCUAAAUGGUAAGAACUUAUGAACACAAAGAAGGGAAAAACAGACACUGGAGUCUACUCGACGGAGGAUAGUAGGAGGAGGGAGAGGAGCAGAAAAGAUAACUAUUGGGUACUGGGCUUAAUACCUAGGUGAUGAAAUAAUCUGUACAACCAACCCCCGCGACACGUGUUUACCUAUGUAACAAACCUGCACAGGUAGCCCCAAACCUCAAAUAAAAGUUAAAAAAAAGGAAAAUAGUUAAAAAAAAACAAAACAAAAAAAAACAAAAAAUAAAAAAAAGAAUUUCAAAAGAAAGUCAAUCCAGA
rnacentral:lncRNA from 1 species